rnacentral:tRNA from 1 species
GGGGAUGUGGCUCACUUGGUAGAGCACUCACCUGGCAUGCGUGAGGCACUGAGUUCAAUCCUCAGUACCA